GACGAACGCUGGCGGCGUGCUUAACACAUGCAAGUCGAACGGUGAAGGUGGGAGCUUGCUCCUGCUGGAUCAGUGGCGAACGGGUGAGUAACACGUGAGUAACCUGCCCUUGACUCUGGGAUAAGCGUUGGAAACGACGUCUAAUACCGGAUACGAGCUUCAGCCGCAUGGCUAGGAGUUGGAAAGAUUUUUCGGUCAAGGAUGGACUCGCGGCCUAUCAGCUGGUUGGUGAGGUAAUGGCUCACCAAGGCGACGACGGGUAGCCGGCCUGAGAGGGUGACCGGCCACACUGGGACUGAGACACGGCCCAGACUCCUACGGGAGGCAGCAGUGGGGAAUAUUGCACAAUGGGCGCAAGCCUGAUGCAGCAACGCCGCGUGAGGGACGACGGCCUUCGGGUUGUAAACCUCUUUUGGCAGGGAAGAAGCGCAAGUGACGGUACCUGCAGAAAAAGCACCGGCUAACUACGUGCCAGCAGCCGCAGUAACAC
rnacentral:rRNA from 1 species